AUUGAACGCUGGCGGCAGGCCUAACACAUGCAAGUCGAGCGAGCGGCGGACGGGUGAGUAAUGUCUGGGAAACUGCCUGCUGGAGGGGGAUAACUACUGGAAACGGUAGCUAAUACCACAUCCCCUCUGAUGUGCCCCGAUGGGAUUAGCUAGUAGGUGGGGUAAUGGCUCACCUAGGCGACGUACCCUACCUGGUCUGAGAGGAUGACCAGCCACACUGGAACUGAGAAACGGUCCAGACUCCUACGGGAGGCAGCAGUGGGGAAUAUUGCACAAUGGGCGCAAGCCGGAUGCAGCCAGGCCGCGGAUGUGAAGAAGGCCUUCGGGUUGUAAAGCACGUUCAGCGGGGAGGCGUUACCCGCAGAGGAAGCACCGGCUAACUCCGUGCCAGCAGCCGCGGUAAUUC
rnacentral:rRNA from 1 species